rnacentral:rRNA from 1 species
CCUACGUGUGGCAGCAGUCGAGAAUCAUUCACAAUGGGGGAAACCCUGAUGGUGCGACGCCGCGUGGGGGAAUGAAGGUCUUCGGAUUGUAAACUCCUGUCAUGUGGGAGCAAAUUAAAAAGAUAGUACCACAAGAGGAAGAGACGGUUAACUCUGUGCCAGCAGCGGCGGUAAUACAGCGGUCUCAAGCGUUGUUCGGAAUCACUGGGCGUAAAGCGUGCGUAGGCAGUGUCGUAAGUCGUGUGUGAAAGGCGCGGGCGCAACCCGCGGACGGCACAUGAUACUGGGAGACUAGAGUAAUGGAGGGGGAACCGGAAUUCUCGGUGUAGCAGUGAAAUGCGUAGAUAUCGAGAGGAACACUCGUGGCGAAGGCGGGUUCCUGGACAUUAACUGACGCUGAGGCACGAAGGCCAGGGGAGCGAAAGGGAUUAGAUACCCUGGUAGUC